GAGUUCUUUCAGCAUUACGGUGCCGGAUGAAAGAUGCCGGAUAAUAGGGAAGUGCGUGUGAAUCGCACACUGUGCCCGCAACUGUAAGAUGGUAUGUCGCGCGACGACAGGAGCAGCUCUGCUUUUGUGGCCGUUGCGGAUCGGGUGUAUCCACUCCGCCAACCUCUGAUAACCACGGGGAAUGCGGGGGAAGGCUGCCCGGAGGAAAACGUCGAAGUAAUUUCGCAGCCAUCGAAGUCAGGAGACCUGCCGUAGUGGUUGGCGCCGA
rnacentral:ncRNA from 2 species